AUUGAACGCUGGCGGCAUGCCUAACACAUGCAAGUCGAACGGCAGCACAGCAGUAGCAAUACUGUGGGUGGCGAGUGGCGGACGGGUGAGGAAUACAUAGGAAUCUACCCUGUCGUGGGGGAUAACGUAGGGAAACUUACGCUAAUACCGCAUACGACCGAGAGGUGAAAGUGGGGGACCGCAAGGCCUCACGCGGUUGGAUGAGCCUAUGUCCGAUUAGCUAGUUGGCGGGGUAAGAGCCCACCAAGGCGACGAUCGGUAGCUGGUCUGAGAGGAUGAUCAGCCACACUGGAACUGAGACACGGUCCAGACUCCUACGGGAGGCAGCAGUGGGGAAUAUUGGACAAUGGGCGCAAGCCUGAUCCAGCAAUGCCGCGUGGGUGAAGAAGGCCUUCGGGUUGUAAAGCCCUUUUGUUCGGAAAGAAAAGCUUCCGAUUAAUACUCGGGAGUCAUGACGGUACCGGAAGAAUAAGCACCGGCUAACUUCGUGCCAGCAGCCGCGGUAACAC
rnacentral:rRNA from 1 species